rnacentral:rRNA from 1 species
UACGUAGGGUGCAAGCGUUAAUCGGAAUUACUGGGCGUAAAGCGUGCGCAGGCGGUUGUGCAAGACAGAUGUGAAAUCCCCGGGCUCAACCUGGGAACUGCAUUUGUGACUGCACGGCUGGAGUGCGGCAGAGGGGGAUGGAAUUCCGCGUGUAGCAGUGAAAUGCGUAGAUAUGCGGAGGAACACCGAUGGCGAAGGCAAUCCCCUGGGAUAACACUGACGCUCAUGCACGAAAGCGUGGGGAGCGAACAGG